GACGAACCGAGCGAACGUUGUUCGGAAUCACUGGGCUUAAAGGGCGCGUAGGCGGGUGCUCAAGUCCGGGGUGGAAUCCUCCAGCUCAACUGGAGAACUGCCUCGGAUACUGGGUGCCUCGAGGGUGGUAGGGGUAUGCGGAACUAUCGGUGGAGCGGUGAAAUGCGUUGAUAUCGAUAGGAACUCCGGUGGCGAAGGCGGCAUACUGGACCACAUCUGACGCUGAGGCGCGAAAGCCAGGGGAGCAAACGGG
rnacentral:rRNA from 1 species